rnacentral:tRNA from 1 species
GGGUUUGUAGUGUAUUGGAUCGCACAGCUUUCUUCUAAAGAGCUAGACUUGGUUCGAUCCCAAGCAGACCUACCA